UGGACAUUUAUUCUUCUUCAGUUUCUUCUCAAGGUGAAGAUAACUCUUCAUAAAUGUCCUAGAGAAGAAUAGUAGCUUUCUGUUCACCCUUUGCAACUUAAAAGGGUGGAUCAUUCCACUACUGACGCUU
ensembl:snoRNA